UGUAUUUUUGGAUCCAAUUUAACUCAUAGUAAUUACAAAAGAAUGGGUUCCUCGGGCUGGAGAGAUGGCUCAGCCGUUAAAGGCUAGGCUCACAACCAAAAAUAUA
ensembl:miRNA Gm24048 predicted gene, 24048